rnacentral:rRNA from 1 species
UACGGGGGGGGCAAGCGUUGUUCGGAAUUACUGGGCGUAAAGGGCGCGUAGGCGGCCUGCUAAGUCGAACGUGAAAUCCCCGGGCUCAACCCGGGAACUGCGUCCGAUACUGGCUGGCUUGAAUCCGGGAGAGGGAUGCGGAAUUCCAGGUGUAGCGGUGAAAUGCGUAGAUAUCUGGAGGAACACCGGUGGCGAAGGCGGCAUCCUGGACCGGUAUUGACGCUGAUGCGCGAAAGCCAGGGGAGCAAACGGG